rnacentral:misc_RNA from 1 species
GAUGAAGAACGCAGCGAAAUGCGAUAAGUAGUGUGAAUUGCAGAAUUCAGUGAAUCAUCGAAUCUUUGAACGCUCAUUGCGCCCUUUGGUAUUCCUUAGGGCAUGCCUGUUCGAGCGUCAUUUAAACCUUCAAGCUAAGCUUGGUGUUGGGUGACUGUCCGCUUCACUGCGGACUCGCCUCAAAAUUAUUGGCGGCCGGUACAUUGGCUUCGAGCGCAGCAGAAACGCGAACUCGGGCCCGUCGUAUUGGCUCCCAGAAGCUAUCUUCACAAUUUUGACCUCGGAUCAGGUAGGGAUACCCGCUGAACUUAAGCAUAUCAAUAAGCGGAGGA